UUACCUACGGGACGCAGCAGUGGGGAAUAUUGGGCAAUGGACGCAAGUCUGACCCAGCAACGCCGCGUGAAGGAAGAAGGCUUUCGGGUUGUAAACUUCUUUUAAGGGGGAAGAGCAGAAGACGGUACCCCUUGAAUAAGCCACGGCUAACUACGUGCCAGCAGCCGCGGUAAUACGUAGGUGGCAAGCGUUGUCUGGAUUUACUGGGUGUAAAGGGCGUGCAGCCGGAGAGACAAGUCAGAUGUGAAAUCCAAAGGC
rnacentral:rRNA from 1 species